rnacentral:rRNA from 1 species
CAAUAGCGUAUAUUAAAGUUGUUGCAGUUAAAAAGCUCGUAGUUGGAUUUGUGGCGUACGGUGUGUUCCGGGCACUUGUUGUCUGAGUAACCUGCUGUUGCCAUCCUUGGGUGGAACCUGUGUGGCAUUAGGUUGUCGUGCAGGGGAUGCCCAUCAUUUACUGUGAAAAAAUUAGAGUGUCCAAAGCAGGCUUAUGCCGUUGAAUAUAUUAGCAUGGAAUAAUGAGAUAGGACUUUUUUGCUAUUUUGUUGGUUUGCGCAAGAAGGUAAUGAUUAAUAGGGACAGUUGGGGGUAUUCGUAUUCCAUUGUCAGAGGUGAAAUUCUUGGAUUUUUGGAAGACGAACUACUGCGAAAGCAUUUACCAAGGAUGUUUUCAUUAA